GAUGAACGCUGGCGGCGUGCCUAAUACAUGCAAGUCGAGCGAACAGACGAGGAGCUUGCUCCUCUGACGUUAGCGGGGGACGGGUGAGUAACACGUGGAUAACCUACCUAUAAGACUGGGAUAACUUCGGGAAACCGGAGCUAAUACCGGAUAAUAUAUUGAACCGCAUGGUUCAAUAGUGAAAGACGGUUUUGCUGUCACUUAUAGAUGGAUCCGCGCCGCAUUAGCUAGUUGGUAAGGUAACGGCUUACCAAGGCAACGAUGCGUAGCCGACCUGAGAGGGUGAUCGGCCACACUGGAACUGAGACACGGUCCAGACUCCUACGGGAGGAAGCAGUAGGGAAUCUUCCGCAAUGGGCGAAAGCUUGACGGAGCAACGCCGCGUGAGUGAUGAAGGUCUUCGGAUCGUAAAACUCUGUUAUUAGGGAAGAACAAAUGUGUAAGUAACUAUGCACGUCUUGACGGUACCUAAUCAGAAAGCCACGGCUAACUACGUG
rnacentral:rRNA from 1 species